AUUGAACGCUGGCGGCAGGCCUAGCACAUGCAAGUCGAGCGGCAGCGGAAAGUAGCUUGCUACUUUGCCGGCGAGCGGCGGACGGGUGAGUAAUGUCUGGGAAACUGCCUGAUGGAGGGGGAUAACUACUGGAAACGGUAGCCAAUACCGCAUACCGCCGCAAGACCAAAGAGGGGGACUUUCGGGCCUCUUGCCAUCCGAUUGGACUGGAUGGGAUUAGCUAGCAGGUGGGGGAACGGCUCACCUAGGCGACGAUCCCUAGCUGGUCUGAGAGGAUGGCCAGCCGCACUGGAACUGAGACACGGUCCAGACUCCUACGGGAGGCAGCAGUGGGGAAUAUUGCACAAUGGGCGCAAGCCUGAUGCAGCCAUGCCGCGUGUAUGAAGAAGGCCUUCGGGUUGUAAAGUACUUUCAGCGGGGAGGAAGGUGUUGAGGUUAAUAACCUCAGCAAUUGACGUUACCCGCAGAAGAAGCACCGGCUAACUCCGUGCCAGCCGCCGCGGUAAUAC
rnacentral:rRNA from 1 species